rnacentral:rRNA from 1 species
UACGGAGGGGGCUAGCGUUGUUCGGAAUUACUGGGCGUAAAGCGCACGUAGGCGGCUUUGUAAGUUAGAGGUGAAAGCCCGGGGCUCAACUCCGGAAUUGCCCUUAAGACUGCAUCGCUCGAAUUGUGGAGAGGUAAGUGGAAUUCCGAGUGUAGAGGUGAAAUUCGUAGAUAUUCGGAAGAACACCAGUGGCGAAGACGACUUACUGGACACAUAUUGACGCUGAGGUGCGAAAGCGUGGGGAGCAAACAGG